GGGGGUAUAGCUCAGUGGUAGAGCCUAAGCUCAGCGUGCACUAGGUCCUGGGUUCAAUCCCCAGUGCCUCCA
rnacentral:tRNA from 1 species